UUACGGCUCAGUAACACGUGGCUAACCUGCCCUUGGGAUAGGAACAACCCCGGGAAACUGGGGCUAAUUCCCAAUAGGUGAAGAACUCUGGAAUGAGUCUCCGCCCAAAAGACGCUUGCGCCAUGCUUGUAGGCGCCGCCCAAGGAUGGGGCCGCGACCGAUCAGGUUGUUGGUGAGGUAACGGCCCACCAAGCCUUUUACCGGUACGGGCCGCGGGAGCGGGAGCCCGGAGAUGGGCACUGAGACAAGGGCCCAGGCCCUACGGGGCGCAGCAGUCGCGCAAACUUUGCAAUACACGAAAGUGUGACAGGGCUAUCCCGAGUGCCGCCCGCUGAGGGUGGCUUUUGCCCAGUAUAGCAAGCUGGGAGAAUAAGGAGAGGGCAAGUCUGGUGUCAGCCGCCGCGGUAAUACCAGCUCUCCGAGUGGUGUGGAUGUUUAUUGGGUCUAAAGCAUCCGUAGCUUGCUGAGUGAGUCCCCUGUUAAAUCCAGCGAAUUAACUGUUGGUGUGCGGGGAUACUGCUCAGCUAGGGGACGAGAGAGGCAGACGGUAUUUUCGGGGUAGGGGUGAAAUCCUAUAAUCCCGAGAAGACCACCAGUGGCGAAGGCUGUCUGCUAGAACGCGCCCGACGGUGAGGGAUGAAAGCUGGGGGAGCGAACCGGAUUAGAUACCCGGGUAGUCCCAGCUGUAAACUAUGCAGGCUAGGUGUUUGGGCGGCCACGUGCCGCUCUAGUGCC
rnacentral:rRNA from 1 species